rnacentral:rRNA from 1 species
UACGUAGGGUGCAAGCGUUGUCCGGAAUCAUUGGGCGGAAAGAGCGUGUAGGCGGCCCGAUAAGUCCGCUGUGAAAUUCCAGGGCUCAACCCUGGAAUGCCGGUGGAUACUGUCGGGCUCGAAUCCGGAAGAGGUGAGUGGAAUUCCUGGUGUAGCGGUGAAAUGCGAAGAUAUCAGGAGGAACACCAAGGGCGAAGGCAGCUCACUGGGACGGUAGUGACGCUGAGACGCGAAAGCGUGGGGAGCAAACAGG